GUUCCCUCUCUCGAAUCCUUGCUCCCUGGGUGAGUGUGCUCUCAGAAUGCAACGUACCUAGGCAAGGAUUCCAGAGGGGGAGC
rfam:Erinaceus europaeus unplaced genomic scaffold scaffold00427, whole genome shotgun sequence